rnacentral:rRNA from 1 species
AACGAACGCUGGCGGCAUGCCUAACACAUGCAAGUCGAACGAGACCUUCGGGUCUAGUGGCGCACGGGUGCGUAACGCGUGGGAACCUGCCCUUAGGUUCGGAAUAACUCCCCGAAAGGGGUGCUAAUACCGGAUAAUGUCUUCGGACCAAAGAUUUAUCGCCUUUGGAUGGGCCCGCGUUGGAUUAGCUAGUUGGUAGGGUAAAAGCCUACCAAGGCGACGAUCCAUAGCUGGUCUGAGAGGAUGAUCAGCCACACUGGGACUGAGACACGGCCCAGACUCCUACGGGAGGCAGCAGUGGGGAAUAUUUGACAAUGGGCGAAAGCCUGAUCCAGCCAUGCCGCGUGAGUGAUGAAGGCCUUAGGGUUGUAAAGCUCUUUUACCCGGGAUGAUAAUGACAGUACCGGGAGAAUAAGCUCCGGCUAACUCCGUG